rnacentral:sRNA from 2 species
CACCAUUUUUCCUGGGGCAUAUCUCAGUCUCACAAUCUCGCAGUCUCUCAGUCCCACAAUCUCCCAGUCCCCCAAUCUCCCAGUCCCCCCCCAGUCCUCCCAGUAGAUCUGUGAUGCACAGUCCAAUCCACUAACCUGGCUAGUUGUUCCCCCCUUGGCGUUGGCGCUGCUUGGGGUCCUCGCCUUCUUUGCCAACAACACCAAACCCCUGCUGUGGAAGGAUGACCCUAGUCAGGUACACGGCUCUGGCUGGAGUCGGCGCUCUGGCUGGUAGAGACAUUAAGAAGAGUAAGGGGAAUGAUGAUAUCCUCCGGUUUGCAGUAGCGAAUACACCAGAUAAUAUAUAGAAGUACAGAUUAUAUAGAUAGAUAUAUGCUCUUUUAAAUAUUUACUAUGUGCACACGGAUUUCAUGACGCAAAAUAAAACAAAAAGAUCCCUAGUAACUAUAAAAAAAAAAGGCAAACGACCAGGGCCUUAACUACCCCGAGUCCAACCC